CGGACGGGUGAGUAAUGUCUGGGAAACUGCCCGAUGGAGGGGGAUAACUACUGGAAACGGUAGCUAAUACCGCAUAACGUCGCAAGACCAAAGAGGGGGACCUUCGGGCCUCUUGCCAUCAGAUGAACCCAUAUGGGAUUAGCUAGUAGGUGAGGUAACGGCUUACCUAGGCGACGAUCCCUAGCUGGUCUGAGAGGAUGAUCAGCCACACUGGGACUGAGACACGGCCCAG
rnacentral:rRNA from 1 species